rnacentral:rRNA from 1 species
GAUGAACGCUGGCGGCGUGCCUAAUACAUGCAAGUCGAGCGAACGGACGAGAAGCUUGCUUCUCUGAUGUUAGCGGCGGACGGGUGAGUAAUACGUGGAUAACCUACCUAUAAGACUGGGAUAACUUCGGGAAACCGGAGCUAAUACCGGAUAAUAUUUUGAACCGCAUGGUUCAAAAGUGAAAGACGGUCUUGCUGUCACUUAUAGAUGGAUCCGCGCUGCAUUAGCUAGUUGGUAAGGUAACGGCUUACCAAGGCAACGAUGCAUAGCCGACCUGAGAGGGUGAUCGGCCACACUGGAACUGAGACACGGUCCAGACUCCUACGGGAGGCAGCAGUAGGGAAUCUUCCGCAAUGGGCGAAAGCCUGACGGAGCAACGCCGCGUGAGUGAUGAAGGUCUUCGGAUCGAAAAACUCUGUUAUUAGGGAAGAACAUAUGUGUAAGUAACUGUGCACAUCUUGACGGUACCUAAUCAGAAAGCCACGGCUAACUACGUG